UUAUGUAUUAUUUAUACCAUCCACCUCCUUUGUCUACCCACCAUCGGCUUUGACUUACCUGAGAUACUAAGUUCGGUAAGCUCUCUUCAGUUACUGAAGAUAUUACGAGUUUAGGGUCUGCAGAGCAUAAUGGAUCGCGGAUCUGCUGCAGAUUCCAGGCUGAACAGAUCUGCAAGUGUUGUAGACAGCGCAAGCAUGAGGAGUGGUUUCAGUAGAUGGAAACCAACUGAAAUCCAAAAGGGUAUAUUGAACUCCAAAUUCGCGAGCGGAAUAAAAACGUGUUCUUCUGGUUUCAGAAUGCCGCUGCCAGAGAUAAGCUGAAAAAAGAAAAAGCAGUAUCAUGUGAUAGACGGAAAAAGGAAAAAGCAGAAUCAUCCUCCAAAUGGCCUGCAGUGUUUAGGCCGCGAAGCUGGACUUCUUUAUUCCGUGCGAAGAGGUCAUCUGAACGGAGCAAUGUCCAAGUAUGAAACCGCAUUUAUAAAUUAUGGCUUGUCUUUCGAAUUAUAUAUAUGAUGAGUAAGAUUAUGGCGGACCUAGGAGAAAUUCAUCGGUAGAACCAGCUGAUAUCAGAACACUGGAAUUAUUUCCUCUGCAUCCCGAUUUGUGAGGGCGUUGGCAUUUCUGGAACACUGGUUUUUUAUUUUUUUUGCUUUCGUGUAGUUUAGGGUUUUAUAAAUAGUUUGAAUAGGGACAUUUUUAAGUGAAAAAAUGUCGUAGCGCAUGGUCUAUAGAUCAUGUAGCUCUUGCUUAGUUUUAAUAUGUGACAUUUUCAAUGGUGUAUAUUUUCAGUUUUACAAAUAUGAAUCAUCUGAAAUGUUAAGAUUCCGUUUUGAGACUGGUUAUGGAAUGAUGCAAAGUAUUUAAUAUUUAUUA